rnacentral:misc_RNA from 1 species
GAUGAAGAACGUAGCGAAAUGCGAUAAGUAGUGUGAAUUGCAGAAUUCAGUGAAUCAUCGAAUCUUUGAACGCACAUUGCGCCCCUUGGUAUCCCGAGGGGCAUGCCUGUUCGAGCGUCAUUUCACCACUCAAGCCUGGCUUGGUGUUGGGCGACGUCCUCUUUGGGGACGCGCCUCGAAACGCUCGGCGGCGUGGCACCGGCUUUAAGCGUGGCAGAAUCUUUCGCUUUGGAGGUCGGGGCCCCGUCUGCCGGAAGACCUGCUCGCAAGGUUGACCUCGGAUCAGGCAGGGAUACCCGCUGAACUUAAGCAUAUCAAUAAGCGGAGGA